ACUUACCCUUUCUUCUGUUCCGUCUAGUCUGCUGGUGAACCCCUCUCGUGUUUUCAUUCAGUUCAGUUAUUGUGUUCAUCAGCUCCAUGACUUGUAUUUUUCAUAUAUUUUCUAUCUUUUUGUUGAAGUUCUGUGUUCAUCCAUUCUUCUCCCCAUCUUCUUCCCAGUUUUACAUCUUUAGGACCAUUUUGAACUUUUUAUCGGGUAAAUAUCCUACAUCUGUUAUCACUGAUGUUUUGUUUAAUGUUUAUUUUUAUGUUGGAGAGAGAGGGGGCAGAAAGAGAGGGAGACGGAGGAUCUGAAGCUGACUGUGCAGAGCCCAGUGCGGGGUUGAACUCACAAACUGUGAGAUCAUGACUUGAACUGACGUCAGACACUUAACUGACUGAGCCACCCAAAUGCCCCUUCCCUGAGGUUUUUACAAGAGCUCUAGAAUUCACAGUAAAGUAUUCACAUCAUAAGGGGGCCAUGGGAACAGAAUCAACUCCAGAUUGGGGUAGGUUUGAAUACCUGAUACAUCAUAAAAGAGUGUCCUAGAUACCUAGAAAAUAGGUGCUUUCAAUUACACAUGUCCUUAUGAAGUCAUUUUACUAGGUGUAAGGGUUAACAUCAAUCUGUCACAUUUCUGAAUCUUUGCUGAUGGGGCUACUUUCUCAUUUUUAGUUAUCAAUUCAGUUCUUUCUAUUAAAUAAGUGGGAGAAGGAGUUUGGAUCUAAUAUGGUGAAGAGGCAAGUAACAGAAAGUUUGAGAGUCAUUCUAUAAAACAUUGACCAGAAGAAAAAGGCAUAGAUCAGCUUAAAGGAAGCAGGAGCUGAAUUUGGGAAUGCAGGAGAUCUAGGAACUGUGGGUAUGACCAACCAGCCUAGGCCCCAAGAAGGGAGAUUAAAAAUGACUUCCCUAAAGGAUUGACUAUCCAGGAAGCAAUGAGGGAGUCAGUCAGCCUUUACAAGUAAUUGGGGGCCAGACAUACCAAGUGUUUCAGUGCUCAGGAAUCUGCAUGUGAACAAGCUUCUCUGGUGCAUCCCACGAAGGUAGCUCAGACUACACUUGGAGAAACACUGCAAGGUAGUGAGUCCCUCUGGCUGGAGCUCUAGGGCUUCCUCUGCGAAGUGAAUUUCUCAAGGUAGGUAUUUCCUAAACUCCUUCCCACCCCCACUUAAAAUACCCAGGGCUCCAUUCCUUGGAGGUUCUGCUUUAGCAAGUUUAAAGGUGUAUUUUUAACAAAUUCUGAUGGGCAGCCAAGUUCAUAAGUUUCAAAUGGCUAAUCCAGUUGGCUUGUAUAAGAAGGGACCACUGUAUAUUUUUUAAUGUUUAUUUGAGAGAGACAGCAUGAGUGGGGAAAGGGCAGAGCAAAAAUCCCAAGCAGGCUCUGUGUUGUCAGCACAGAACCCAACAUAGGGCUCUAUCCCAACACUGUGAGAUCAUGAGCCGAAAUCAAGAACUGGACACUUAACCAACUCAGCCACCCAGGUGCCCCAGGGGACAUUUUGGAAUUCUCCCAUCUAUCAAAAACCCAGUUUGAGAUACUAAAAUAAUUAUUAUGCAACCCUAUUUCGAAGGGUGGGGCAUGGGGACACUUGUCACCAGCAAGAACUAAAGUGGUGAAGCCCCUCUGGGGGACAGAAGUUGGAUUAGAUAAAUCUCUACCAAUGAUUGAGUUAGAUCACCCAACCAAAUGUAAAAUGUUGCUCUUUCCUCAAACCAGAGCCCGGGGUGUUAUUAAGCAAGCAAGCUAGUUUUGUGAAUGGAGUAAAUUAUAGCCACUACUGAGGACUUACUAUGUAAGUUUCUACUAGACCACUGGCCAAAAUGACUUAAACAGUAAAUACAUCACCAGAGCUCCUUAUCAAAUACUUACAGAUCUUGGCUCUGUUUCAUCCGGUGGAAGUCCUUCAGGAUCCCCAUCAUAUCUGCAAAGCUGCUGGCCUUGGACAGAGAAACACAGUCAUCCUCUUCAGACGAGCUGCAGGUAGCCUUGUGUUCUGGUUUGCAACAUUCAGGGCUGGCAGAACAAAGCAGGGGGACUGAUGGAAGCUCAGGGACCUCUACCUCGGUCUCCUCGGUGAUGUCACUAAUGACAAAGGAAGUUGUAGAGUGGAAUGAGGAUCCAAAACAAGGUAAGGGAGAAGAGACAUUUGAACUUCCUGGAGAUAAGAAAUCUGGCGUUAAUGAAGCCGAAGCUGAAAGAGAAAACAACAGGCAUGGAUGGACAUUGGGCUAGAACACGGCAGUAAUAUCUUCUCCCCACAAGCACUGCCUACCAACAACACUCAUUUCCUGGGCUGACACCGUGACCUUCUGGGAGAGCCCGGGAUAGUCCGUGUAAGCCAGUGGAGGAUUCCUCCACUACCCUCCCCUCUCAGGAUCUAAAGAAGAUACAGAAGCACUGAGUUCUUCCAGUGUUCUGGGAGGGUGGAAGAACCCACCCCGUAAAGGCUUAGGCACCUAAAAUCUCCCUCCCAUUCUGCAGUGGGCUAUGGAGUGACAGCCCUAUUUUGACCAAAGCGACAGUAACAGAACCAAAGUCAGAAUCUGUCCUUUCUCUAACUGGGCUAGUGCUUCUGAGUGACUGGAAGAAGUAGCGAAAACAGAAUGGUGACAGUCCUCCUAGUUUCUCAAAUCUUAAGGGAGAAUUUCCAAAACAAAAAGAUUUUUACGUUUCAUUUUUCCUCAACUACUUCAGCUUGUCUCUUGGAUGACAAAAAUGUAGCCAACAUAUAAAUGAAAAACUCAAGUAUAAUUCCUCUAUAUAACUGCCAUAUGAUUUUCAUGUGUUGUACCAACAGAUGAAGUCAUAGCUCCCAAACCUUAAGUCAACAAGGACCAGAAAAGUGAGGAUGGAAGGAACAGGAGGAUAAACCCUGGGCAACUGGGGCGAGAUCCACAUGUUGAUGUUUCAUGCACUAGGUCAAGACAGACUCCCGUCUAUUUCCAGCGGUUCUGCCUUACAGACAGAUGGAGGGAUGGAGAGGUGGUCUCUGGUAGAACAAGGAAACGGAAGAUAAGUGCUUAAAGGGGAUAGCUCUCUCAAUGGUGGGGAAUGCUUCUCUCUCAUUAAAAAUGAAAGCUGC